CAUGACUAACACAAGUUAAAGAUAGACUCAGUGAUGUGAUGUAGAUCCAGAAAGUAAACAGCAUAGUGGGUCAAUUCCCUCAACAACUAAGAGCGUUGAAGCACAAGGCUCACCUUCUCCUCUGUUUUGGUGUCCUGGCUACCGCGCUUGUGAACUGCAUGAAGCGAACUCAUGCACAGAUACUGUGUGACUGUGUGAGAGCGAAGUCUUUCAUCUCACUCAUCUCAAUAUCUGUGGAGCUGCUCGUGGCAACGUCAUUUCGCUGAGCCUACCUUUAAUGACCAAGCGUUGCUGUUUCACACUGACCCAAAUCUAUUAUGAACCCCAUCAGAACACACAGUACACGGCAAGCGGUACCGAUGCACGUCUGGAACCAGCAGGACCCGGAACAGCUUCUACCCCCAAGCCAUAAGACUGCUAAAUAGUAAACCAAAUAGCUUCCCAGACUAUCUGCAUUGACCCUUUUUGUACUAACUCUUUUGACUCAUCAUAUACGCUGCUGCUACUGUUUAUUAUCUAUCCUGUUGCCUAGUCACCUUACCCCUACCUACAGUAUAUGUACAUAUCUACCUCAAUUACCUCGUACCCCUGCACAUCGACUCGAUACUGGUACCCCGUGUAUAUAGCCAAGUCAUCGUUACUCAUUGUGUUAUUCUUUUUCACUUUUUUUUCUGCAUUGUUGGGAAGGAAUUAAUCUGGCAUGGAAGCUGACGGGAAAUGCUGGAAGUAAAGAGAAGAGAAGGAAAAGAGACAAGAUAUACACAAUGCAACACAUCCUCUCUCUCUCACACACACACACACACACAAAGGACCUACGGCCCUCUGUUUGAGCUAGGGGACUCACAAACAAGAAUGAAGCUGUUUGUCUUUCCUGGGAUUGGUAAACAUCCUCAACACAAACACUGUCUUGGCCGCAGCGCCAGCGAGAGGGCAGAAACUCACACCGUCAGGGAGGGCAGCUGCACUCUCACUCCACCUUUGAUGUCUUUAGGGCAGAGCUGACAAUGAAGUCCCGUCACGUCUUAAUCCUUUUAAUUGGAGCUUGGAUGUUACAAAUUGAUACGCCAUGUCUGUAAUGGGAUAUUGUAUGUUUAAAAACAGUACACAGAACAAAAGUCAAUCUGGUUCUGUCAAUUACUGUUAUAUGGUGUUAGGCCUACAUAUGGAGUUAAGUGAGAUAUGUAAAGUGGCCUAUGAAUUUGCCUUUAGAUUAGGGCAGUAAAAUGAAAUGCUGUACUGUUGUACAAUCUUCCUGUUUAAAAAGGUUUCAUUCAGAAAUGUACGCUCCAAAGGAAACAAGAGGAUAGAAGGUGAGUGAUGGCUGUUUUACACAGAGGAGGAUAUCCCAAUUGCUUAAAACAAGU
rnacentral:lncRNA from 1 species